rnacentral:rRNA from 1 species
UACGUAGGGUGCAAGCGUUGUCCGGAAUUACUGGGCGUAAAGAGCUCGUAGGUGGUUUGUCGCGUUGUUCGUGAAAACUCACAGCUCAACUGUGGGCGUGCGGGCGAUACGGGCAGACUUGAGUACUGCAGGGGAGACUGGAAUUCCUGGUGUAGCGGUGGAAUGCGCAGAUAUCAGGAGGAACACCGGUGGCGAAGGCGGGUCUCUGGGCAGUAACUGACGCUGGAGGAGCGAAAAGCGUG